GAGUUUGAUCAUGGCUCAGGAUGAACGCUAGCGGCAGGCUUAACACAUGCAAGUCGAGGGGUAGUUACUUUCGGGUAAUGAGACCGGCGCACGGGUGCGUAACGCGUAUGCAAUCUACCUUUUACAGGGGAAUAGCCCAGAGAAAUUUGGAUUAAUGCCCCAUGGUAUUAUAGAGUGGCAUCACUUUAUAAUUAAAGUUCCAACGGUAAAAGAUGAGCAUGCGUCCCAUUAGUUAGUUGGUAAGGUAACGGCUUACCAAGACGAUGAUGGGUAGGGGUCCUGAGAGGGAGAUCCCCCACACUGGUACUGAGACACGGACCAGACUCCUACGGGAGGCAGCAGUGAGGAAUAUUGGACAAUGGGCGCAAGCCUGAUCCAGCCAUGCCGCGUGCAGGAAGAAGCAUCUAUGGUGUGUAAACUGCUUUUAUACAGGAAGAAACACUCCCUCGUGAGGGAGCUUGACGGUACUGUAAGAAUAAGGACCGGCUAACUCCGUGCCAGCAGCCGCGGUAAUACGGAGGGUCCAAGCGUUAUCCGGAAUCAUUGGUUUAAAGGGUCCGUAGGCGGUUUAAUAAGUCAGUGGUGAAAUCUGGUCGCUCAACGAUCAAACGGCCAUUGAUACUGUUAGACUUGAAUUAUAAGGGAGUAACUAGAAUAUGUAGUGUAGCGGUGAAAUGCUUAGAUAUACAUGGAAUACCAAUUGCGAAGGC
rnacentral:rRNA from 1 species